UGGAAUGAAAUGACCCUUCCAAACCAAUUUUCUGAUUCUCUUCUGUGAUUCAUUCCUAUCCCAUUUGUAACUAUGGCUGUUUGUGACAACUGCUGUUAACGUGGUCUAGAUCUGGUCAGUGCAGGACAGACCAUCCCACUAGCAGGGAAUAAGGACCUUGUAAACUCCACCUGCAGCUGUCCCAGGCAGGGCACUGCCUGCAAUGCAAACACUGUCAAACCAGGCAGGAUUCAGCCCUGCAGCACCUGCUUCACUGCCACAACACAAAUGCAAAGGCAUCACCAAACAAACAAACAAAAUCCUCCACCCCACCCUGAAUUAGGCUUUUCCCUCGCGCAGGUGGGGUGAAGUGCAAGCUCAACAGCUUGAAUCACACAGCCAUAACUUCACCCAACCCCAGCCAUUAUGGCAUCAUCAGCUGGGGCUGAUGCACUUGUGCACCACCACAGAGCACACUGCUGAGAGCCUGUGAGACACCAAGUCUACUGGCAUAACAUCAGAACUGGUUUUUCUGAAGCCAUGGGGAUCCAGACUGGUCUUCAGCUAACUUCUGAGUGACAAACCCAAGCCACAUGUCUACUCAAAGGCACAUCUCUGAACAGCAGCAUCAUGCCCUCCAUGGAUGAACAUUUUGUACACUGGGAAAAAUGCCAAAUAACUCAGGUAUCCAUACUGCAAUGAAUUCUGCUAUCUGCCACCCUCCUCAGGUCUGGAUCCACACAGCUUCAUCCCCCAGCAACAGCGCUGCCAAGGCAGAUGGGCCAGCAAGGUUUCAACAAGAGGGUCUUAAGCAGAAGGCAGCCAUGCUGAAGGAGUUAAUCUUGCCUGGAACAACCUAUCUCCGGUUUCUCAGAAACUCCAAGGCUGCAGAGCUGGGCUUUCUGCUCCCUGCCUGCUCUUUGCCUGCCCUGCCUGCAGCCUGACCCCUGACAUUUCCACUCUGCUUCUCCCUGGCAUGGAAAACUUAACCAUACACAAACAAACAGGUUGGGAGGACAGAUAAAUGGAACAGAGGAGGAGAAAGGGAAGAUUGCUCAGAUUCCUUGUCAAGGCCCUGAUUAAAUAACAGCAACACCACCAGACGUGGGUGAGGGGCUGGCAUUUAUCAGUAAACCCUGAAGUCUA